rnacentral:rRNA from 1 species
UAGGGAAUUGUUCGCAAUGGGCGCAAGCCUGACGACGCAACGCCGCGUGGAGGAUGAAGGUCUUCGGAUUGUAAACUCCUGUCGUGUGGGACGAACAUUCACCGGGCUAAUCACCGGUGGACUGACGGUACCACGAAAGGAAGCCCCGGCUAACUCUGUGCCAGCAGCCGCGGUAAUACAGAGGGGGCGAGCGUUGUUCGGAAUUACUGGGCGUAAAGGGCGCGUAGGCGGCCUGCUAAGUCAUACGUGAAAUCCCCCGGCUCAACCGGGGAACUGCGUGUGAUACUGGCGGGCUUGAAUUCGGGAGAGGGAUGCGGAAUUCCAGGUGUAGCGGUGAAAUGCGUAGAUAUCUGGAGGAACACCGGUGGCGAAGGCGGCAUCCUGGACCGAUAUUGACGCUGAGGCGCGAAAGCCAGGGGAGCAAACGG